rnacentral:rRNA from 1 species
GACGAACGCUGGCGGCGUGCCUAAUACAUGCAAGUAGAACGCACAGUUUCUAUCGUAGCUUUCUCCACCAUACACUGUGAGUUGCGAACGGGUGAGUAACGCGUAGGUAACCUGCCUUGUAGCGUGGGAUAACUAUUCGAAACGAUAGCUAUUACCGCAUCAUAUUGAUUAUUGCUUGCUCAUUGAUUGAAAUAUGCUAUUGCAUCACUACCAGUUGGACCUGCGUUGUAUUAGCUAGUAGGUGAGUUAACGGCUCACCUAGCCGACGAUACAUAGCCGACCAGAGAGGGGACGAGGCGACACUGAGACGGGGACACGGCCCAGACUACUGCGGGAGGGAGAAGGAGGGAAUCUUCGGGAAUGGAAGAAAGGCUGAACGAGCAACGACGCGGGGGUGAAGAAGGUUUUCGGAUCGUAAAGGUCAGUUGGAAGAGAAGAACGGGAGGGGGAGUGGAAAGUGCACACAGUGACGGUAUCUGAACAGAAAGGGACGGCUAACUACGUG